rnacentral:lncRNA from 1 species
CAAAGAUAGAAUACACUAGAGUGCAACUGUGCAGAUAUUUUCUUUCCUUUGUUUGCCUUUAUUCUGCUUUUCUUUUUCUGGCACGGGGAAGGGAGAAAUGAUCAACACUCCUCCCAUAUGCUUCAACUUUCACAUCUGUUUUGCCAUUAUCCAUCCUGCUAAGAUAUAAUUAAUGAGAGCCUUCCCGAAUUUCAUACAUUCUGAAAACCAGCCAAUCCCUUCUCUUUGGAGAAUACAUUGAAAAUAACAAUAAAAGUGAGGUGGUGUGGGCUUUUGAAGUCUUUAGAAAACCCAUCGCUGUGAUCUUUGUUCCACCACUGGGGAACUAGGACAUCACCGCACGUGUCUGGCAUUGUUCGUGACAACACGGCAACAGAAAUAAAGCAAGAGUUUCUGGGAGUAGCAUUAGGAUGCAGCACUCCUGCUGUGCACACCAGUUCCCAGCUCUGCACAGCUGCCUUCUCAGCUGGGGGUUUGAAAUCAGCACUGUGAGAAAAGACAGAAAUGACCGGGAUGCAUGGCCCUCACUAUGAGGAAAAGUUCUUCAAGGCAGAUUGUGAUGUUGAAAGCAGCUUCAUCCAUUUUGUGGCCAUGAAGGAGGAAAAGGAACAAUCAAAAGGAGAAUUCCAGAAAUUCCAGUCUCAAUUUGAUCAAGCUAUUAGAACAAUGGUGCUUGUUGGACAGUGUAUGGCUACUUUGAAGUUUUUCACAUAUAUAUAAUAAUUGUGCAUAUUUCUGGGAUGUGAUGUGUUAUUUUCAUAGAUAUAGGCACUAAAAUUAUCCCAUGUUUAUUCACUCUAAACAAUAGUGUGUGGAGAAUAGUCAUAACUGGAGCUAUGUAACACACAUAGGAACAAUCCAUCAGAGAUUGUUCACAGGUGAACAUUAUGUUAUGAAAUAAAACACUUAAGAAUGAAGUUAAAUACAGUUGUGAUGCUGAAAAAAUAUGAAGUUAAAUGCAGUUGUGAUACUGAAAAAAAGAUGGUGAUCAUUUUACUUGGUAAUCAAAACAGAAUCAAGAAAAUUUCUGAUAUCUUUCCAAGAUCUGUUACAAAAUGAUAUACUUGAUGUUUAUUUUCUCAUAUAAAAUAAGGGAUUACCCUAUUUCUCUGGUUCAGUUUUAGAUGUAAAUUUCAAAGUUAAUCAUAAUAAAAU